ensembl:lncRNA
AGUAUAGUCAAAUAAAAGGUGUUGGGCGUGCUGGAAAGAGUGUUAAAGCCAGUUACUUGGAAGUGAUGAGAAAUAAAUCUAACUGUAGGCAGGAGGCAAUGUUUAUGUGUACAGUUAAUAACCUUCUUAAUGGGACUUCUUGGCUUGGUGAUUCCCGUAUGGGGAGGAAAGUGAGAUGUGGAACACAGGGUAGGCGAAGGGCCAUAAGUCAAUUCCCAGCACUGUUAGUCAAGGGUGGAAAUUGCAAAGAGAGAAGCAAUGAAUUUAAAAGCCCCAGCAAGCAGAGAAAGUGGAAGGAGAGCUGUUCUGGGGGAGGAGGUAGAUGGGGAGUGAUUGAGAGUCCAAGUUGGACCAUCCUAAUGGAAGGAAAACCUACUUUUUCCUAAGGACAAGGAACUCCACCAAUUCCUGGAGAGUGAUUCCUUUCUGACAGUCCUUACUAACAACUUUUAAAAUAAUGCCAUUGUUCAUAACUCCUCAGGGUGAGGCCCCAAAAGAGGCAUAUGAUAGAAAUAUGUUGUUUUGUUUUGUUUUAAAGUAAAAGUAGAGAUCCCAACCUCAAGGCUCAAAAUGAAUUUCAGAUAACCUGUGAAAACACAGCUCUGAGUUUAUAUGAAAAGAUCCGCGGUACCCAAGAAACAAGAGCAUCAUCAGCACGCUCAGUGCAUCGGAUCAGACCGCGGAGUUGUUGACAGAAGCUUGGCGAGGCUUGCCAGCUUUCCACACGAAAUGCUGGCUUUCUUCUCACACACCCCCUACCGUUUGUGUCUCUGCCAAUUGUAGCACAUCAGAGCGGCCAUUGAGAUAAUGACCGUGAAGUCUCAUGAUACACUUUGAUGAAGUGUAACAUUUUUUAAAGGAUUUUUGUCUGUGCCAAAAUGAUCGAGGCAGCUGACUAAAAAUCACACCAUCAAAAUCAAGGCUGAUUGAUGAACAGCAGGCAGAGGCAUGAGUCUCCCCAGAGAAGAUGGUGGGGGGAGGGGUGGUAUUUUGCAGCCAAAGUCUCUUUCCUUGUCUAUGUGCAGCACAGAUUUUUUUGUUUAAGUCAUCUUUGUUUCAGAUGAAUUUAUAUCAGUGACGGAUGCUUCAGCCUUCAACAUUUUUUAAUUCUUUUUUUUUUUCUAUCAACCCCCAGAAAAUAGGAGUAAUUCCUUUCUGACAGUUCCUUACUAAUGACUUAGAAAAUAAUGUUGUUGUUAACAACUUGGUGUUGAUUGGAAAAAGCACAUGGGGUAUUUCAGGGCAACAC